rnacentral:rRNA from 1 species
AUUGAACGCUGGCGGCAUGCCUUACACAUGCAAGUCGAACGGCAGCGGGCCUUCGGGUGCCGGCGAGUGGCGAACGGGUGAGUAAUGCAUCGGAACGUGCCAUUGAGUGGGGGAUAACGUAGCGAAAGUUGCGCUAAUACCGCAUAUUCUGUGAGCAGGAAAGCAGGGGACCGCAAGGCCUUGCGCUCUUUGAGCGGCCGAUGUCAGAUUAGCUAGUUAGUGAGGUAAAGGCUUACCAAGGCGACGAUCUGUAGCGGGUCUGAGAGGAUGAUCCGCCACACUGGAACUGAGACACGGUCCAGACUCCUACGGGAGGCAGCAGUGGGGAAUUUUGGACAAUGGGGGCAACCCUGAUCCAGCCAUGCCGCGUGAGUGAAGAAGGCC